GAUCAUGGCUCAGGAUGAACGCUAGCGGCAGGCUUAACACAUGCAAGUCGAGGGGCAGCGGGGAGUAGCAAUACUCCGCCGGCGACCGGCGCGCGGGUGCGUAACGCGUAUGCAACCUACCUUUAACAGGGGCAUAACACUGAGAAAUUGGUACUAAUUCCCCAUAACAUUCGAGAAGGCAUCUUCUUGGGUUAAAAAACUCCGGUGGUUAAAGAUGGGCAUGCGUUGUAUUAGCUAGUUGGUGAGGUAACGG
rnacentral:rRNA from 1 species